GACGAACGCUGGCGGCGUGCUUAACACAUGCAAGUCGAACGGACAGGCCCUGCUUUUGUUGGGUGCUCGUGUGGCGAAGGGGUGAGUAACACGUGAGUAACCUGUCCUUGUCUUUGGGGUAACUUCUGGAAAAUGGGGCUCAUACCGGGUAGGAGCUCCUGCUGCAUGGUGGGGGAUGGUAAGAUCCGGCGGUUGUGGAUGGACUCGCGGCUUAUCAGCUUGUUGGUGGGGUAGGGGCUUACCAAGGCUUUGACGGGUAGGCGGCCUGAGAGGGUGACCAGCCACAAUGGGCCUAAGAGACGGCCCAGACUCCUACGGGAGGCAGCAGUGGGAAAUAUUGCACAGUGGGCGGAAGCCUGAUGCAGCAACGCCGCGUGCGGGAUGACGGCCUUCGAGUUGUAAACCGCUUUCGCCUGUGACGAAGCGUGAGUGACGGUAAUGGGUAAAAAAGCACCGGCUAACUACGUG
rnacentral:rRNA from 1 species